rnacentral:rRNA from 1 species
UAUUGGACAAUGGGCGCAAGCCUGAUCGAGCCAUGCCGCGUGAGUGAUGAAGGCCGUAGGGUUGUAAAGCUCUUUUGUCCGGGACGAUAAUGACGGUACCGGAAGAAUAAGCCCAGGCUAACUUCGUGCCAGCAGCCGCGGUAAUACGAAGGGGGCUAGCGUUGCUCGGAAUCACUGGGCGUAAAGGGCGCGUAGGCGGCCUUGUAAGUUGGGGGUGAAAGCCCGUGGCUCAACCACGGAAUUGCCUUCGAUACUGCUUGGCUUGAGUGUGGUAGAGGUUGGUGGAACUGCGAGUGUAGAGGUGAAAUUCGUAGAUAUUCGCAAGAACACCGGUGGCGAAGGCGGCCAACUGGACCAUCACUGACGCUGAGGCGCGAAAGCGUGGGGAGCAAA